AUUAACCAAAAUAAUUUUUCCACCUCCACGUCGUAUGCAGACGACAAUUAUGAGGUUUCCCACCCUACUUUGGCUAUGGAACUGAUUGUUCUUAAAUGGAAGACUUUCGAUGGAUCAUAUUCAUCUCUCAAGCUGUUCAGUGAUGUUUCCCCUAUGGCAAUACGAGCCGGUGUAGUAGAACCUGUCUGAUAGGUUUCUCAACGGAAUUAGAGUAGAAAAAGGUGAAGACGAACCAAAAAACAAAAACGAACAAAAAACAACGUUAACGUGUGGCACAUGUCCAACUUGUGAGGAAAGCAUUGACACAAUGAAAAAUUUCAUUUGAGUACCAUUGCCCUUUUCAUUAGUGAUUUAAACAAUUGCUACAGUCGAACAUUAAUCGUUUCGACGCACAGCUUUCUGUGAAUAUUCGAAAAAUGGUUAAGAUUUCUAACCCAGUUCCCUUAAUCCCUUUUUCUUUUUGGCAAACUAUCUUAACUCUGGAACGAUAUUCUAGAAUGAAACGUCAAUGUAUUUUUAUUUUCUAGCAAUGAAACAAAAUUGGACAUACAAAAGUGGAACGGUG